AAGAAAGUCGUAGAGGUUACGUGGUUGGCUUGAAACCAGCUUGUGGGGGUUCAAUUCCUUCCUUUCUUG
rnacentral:tRNA from 1 species